UACAGAGGUCUCAAGCGUUGUUCGGAAUUACUGGGCGUAAAGGGUGCGUAGGCGGCUUUCUAAGUCGGAUGUGAAAACUCUGGGCUCAACCCAGAGCCUGCAUCCGAAACUGGAGAGCUAGGGUUCUGGAGGGGAAAGCGGAAUUCCUGGUGUAGCGGUGAAAUGCGUAGAUAUCAGGAGGAACACCGGUGGCGAAGGCGGCUUUCUGGACAGAUACCGACGCUGAGGCACGAAAGCUAGGGGAGCAAACAGG
rnacentral:rRNA from 1 species